rnacentral:rRNA from 1 species
GUGCCAGCCGCCGCGGUAAUACGGAGGGGGCUAGCGUUGUUCGGAAUUACUGGGCGUAAAGCGCGCGUAGGCGGAUCUGCAAGUCGGGGGUGAAAUCCCGAGGCUCAACCUCGGAACUGCCUUCGAUACUGCGGGUCUCGAGUCCGGGAGAGGUGAGUGGAAUUACUAGUGUAGAGGUGAAAUUCGUAGAUAUUAGGAGGAACACCAGUGGCGAAGGCGGCUCACUGGCCCGGUACUGACGCUGAGGCGCGAAAGCGUGGGGAGCAAACAGGAUUAGAAACCCCAGUAGUCC